UUAGCCCUAAACUUAGGUAUUUAAUCUAACAAAAAUACCCGCCAGAGAACUACUAGCAAUAGCUUAAAACUCAAAGGACUUGGCGGUGCUUUAUAUCCCU
rnacentral:rRNA from 1 species